UAACUUUAAUAUGUUGAUAUAAAUUGCCAUACAAAAAUAUGCUAAUAAUUUUGCAUUGUAGUUGUACUUUCCACUUAGGCUAAAGCAAAUUAGGACAAUAAAUGCCAGGUAUCUUUUUAAAUUAAUGAAUUUUUUUGAUUUGGUAAACAUGCCACAGUGCACAUUCCCUGGCUCUCUGCCCUGAGGCCACCAUGGAGCUGGAUUUGGAAAGGCUGCAACCUGACUCUAAUGUGUUGUGAAUGAGAGACCUGAGCUCGGAUUAAGACCGCCGCGGCUGGCCUGCCCCACAACCAAUGUGCACAUGGGGAUCCAAGGGGCUCCUUGUGGCACAUGUGAAACACAACCUUAAAAUAUCACACACACUAAGACGGUGCAAGCACCAACUAAACGCCCUGUGAGUGAAUCAAAACAGGAAAAGACAUGCAGCCUGUCCUAUCCACCGUCCUGCUUGCAGACCAUUUUAUUUGGAGAAAUUGCAGAGGCACAAACAACUCGAGUGUCUGUGCGACCACACGCUCCGCCUCUCAGUCAAUCCAGACAAAUUCUAUGACUUGUGCUGAAGCUUUUAAGCUGUAAUUGAGCACAGGAUGCAAAACCAAAGCCAGCUCUGUACAGGCCUGCGUUUUUAUAGCUGCUAUAGUAUUCUGCUGCGUUUUUUUCUCCCCGGCCAGACAGACACCACAAAACAGGCCAAGCGUGAAAGGAAGUCGCCACCUACACGGACUCAAAGUCAGCAGCUGAGGAUUUUAAACGACACAGAAACAUGUGUCUGUACACAACUAAGGUGACAGAAAUGUGGGCCGACCGCGAUGGCGACGACUGAUGCGGACCACACAGAGGCCAUGCAGAGGAAGUGACCAACUCCACGGUCAACGGGAGCACCUCUGACUCCCCAAUGGGGACAAUGCUGGAUCAGCCUACAGAGGGUAUCCUGGGAAACAAGGCGUCAGCAGGAGCGGGCCUGCAUGGACAAAAGGACAUAAACUAGACUUCAGUGGGGGAAUAAAUGAAAUUAUACAAAGGAAAAAAA